GAACUUAAGCAUAUCAAUAAGCGGAGGAAAAGAAACCAACAGGGAUUGCCUCAGUAACGGCGAGUGAAGCGGCAACAGCUCAAAUUUGAAAUCUGGCCGCAAGGUCCGAGUUGUAAUUUGUAGAGGAUGCUUUUGGCGAGGUGCCUUCCGAGUUCCCUGGAACGGGACGCCAUAGAGGGUGAGAGCCCCGUACGGUAGGACCACCAAGCCUCUGUAAAGCUCCUUCGACGAGUCGAGUAGUUUGGGAAUGCUGCUCUAAAUGGGAGGUGUACGUCUUCUAAAGCUAAAUACCGGCCAGAGACCGAUAGCGCACAAGUAGAGUGAUCGAAAGAUGAAAAGCACUUUGAAAAGAGGGUUAAAAAGUACGUGAAAUUGUUGAAAGGGAAGCAUUCAUGACCAGACUUGGGCUUGGUUGAACAUCCGGCGUUCUCGCCGGUGCACUCUGCCAGUCCAGGCCAGCAUCAGUUUGCCCCGGGGGAUAAAGGCGGCGGGAAUGUGGCUCCCUUCGGGGAGUGUUAUAGCCCGUCGUGUAGUGCCCUGGGGCGGACUGAGGAACGCGCUUCGGCACGGAUGCUGGCGUAAUGGUCAUCAAUGACCCGUCUUGAAACACGGACCAAGGAGUCGUCUUCGUAUGCGAGUGUUCGGGUGUCAAACCCCUACGCGUAAUGAAAGUGAACGUAGGUGAGAGCUUCGGCGCAUCACCGACCGAUCCUGAUGUUCUCGGAUGGAUUUGAGUAAGAGCAUACGGGGCCGGACCCGAAA
rnacentral:rRNA from 1 species